AAUGCAAGUGAUAGUCCUUUAUUGCCUGAGGAGUCACAGAAAACAGUCUCAGGGUCAACUUUGCGGGUGCAGGGAGAGGUUAACAAUAGUUCAUCUGCUGCACUUACUUUGUCAACAUCGACAUCAACAAACUCUGUUGUUGGCGUGUACUCAUCAUCGUCAGAUCCGGUCCACGUUCCAUCUCCAGAUUCGCGAACAGCUGGG
rnacentral:misc_RNA from 1 species